rnacentral:lncRNA from 1 species
GCUUUAUACAUUCAAAGUAACACCCUAGAUCUAGAGCUCUGUUCAUCGCGUUGCCACUAAAUGGGGAAUUCUGUCACCCGAGCCUAUGAACCUGAUCACUGACUCUGCCUUCAUGUGCUCUCCUUAUAACAUACCACGUGGUAGCAAGGUUAGAGGGGAGGGGAUACGUAACUCCCAAGCACCUUGAAUUUGCUGAAGCUAUUCAGAUCUACCAAGAAACCCUGACAAUUGUUUGACCGACAGGUUGGCUUACGUCACGUCACACAGAUGAGUCCAUUUGUUAUCGAAAGGAUCUUUUGUGCAAACUGUUUUAUUCAGUGCCUGGUGGGCACCAAACACACAGAAAACAAGAACCCUAUUCUUCAGGAAAUCAUAGUUUGGUAUCGUAGGGAAAAGAAAAUGUAGUGAGUGUAUUUUAAUAUUUUCUAAGGAUUGCUAUUUUCAGACGUUGCAUUAGCUUUUAACUCAAUUUAUAAAGCAUUUAUCAGCCACAGUGAUAUACAUGCAUUUUUACCAAUCUUGUUUUACAGCCGAAGAAACUGGAAAAUGAAAAAUUACAAAUACAGCUCAACAAAAAUCUGGUAUUUCCCUAAAGCCUUCAAGUACUUAUUAGUAAGAAUGAUUAAAGAGCCAGAAUAUAGAACAUGUUAACAUUAAGCAGUAUUCCCAGAACCCUCUGUCAUCCCUACAAAUAUAGCUGGGAAAGAUCGUGGCAUCGCUUAUGCAGUGACGAUAAUGUUGUAAUUCUCCAGAUCCCUUGAAACAGUGAGGAUCCUAUGGCCUCGUAGCACAGUGGAGAAUAUCAAGGAGACCAAAGGAAGACAUUAAGAAAUCAGAAACUGUAGACGAGGCAAUGAUUUGGACAGCCGUUCCCCGCCGACAAGCUUUGUCUGGGGAGAGGGGGAGAGAGCAAGUUGUGGUCAAGGUGCAUCUGCGUGCUGACUUGAGCAUUUUAGAAGGUAUUUGGUUUCUCUGUCAUCUAUGCAAAACCAAUGAAAACAUAAGCUACUCUAGUAAUUUCGUG